GAUGAACGCUAGCGGCAGGCCUAAUACAUGCAAGUCGAACGGUAACAGGGUAGCAAUACCGCUGACGAGUGGCGCACGGGUGCGUAACGCGUAUGUAACCUACCUUUAACUGGGGUAUACCCCCGAGAAAUCGGGAAUAAUCCCCCAUAGUCUUAUUGAUUUGGCAUCAAAUUAUGAGUAAAGUAUUUCGGUUAAAGAUGGGCAUGCGUGACAUUAGCUAGUUGGUAAGGUAACGGCUUACCAAGGCUACGAUGUCUAGGGGUUCUGAGAGGAUGAUCCCCCACACUGGUACUGAGACACGGACCAGACUCCUACGGGAGGCAGCAGUAAGGAAUAUUGGUCAAUGGACGCAAGUCUGAACCAGCCAUGCCGCGUGCAGGAUGACGGCCCUAUGGGUUGUAAACUGCUUUUGUAUGGGAAAAAACCCUCGUACGUGUACGAGGCUGAUGGUACCAUAAGAAUAAGGAUCGGCUAACUCCGUGCCAGCAGCCGCGGUAAU
rnacentral:rRNA from 1 species